CGAUGGACAGACCUCGGAUUCCCCAAACUCCUUCCGGAUGGCAACGAAUUUUAAGGAUCAGAGCCGAAGGAGGAACCAAGUUCGCUGACGUGUACUAUGUUGCACCGUCUAACAAGAGAUUGCGUUCUAUGGUUGAACUCCACAGGUAUAUAGACGAGCACCCAGAAUAUGCACAAGAAGGUGUAAGCAUCUCGCAG